CGCCGGGGCGGCUGCUUAACAUGCAGUCGAACGGCAGCACGGGUGCUUGCACCUGGUGGCGAGUGGCGAACGGGUGAGUAAUACAUCGGAACAUGUCCUGUAGUGGGGGAUAGCCCGGCGAAAGCCGGAUUAAUACCGCAUACGAUCUAUGGAUGAAAGCGGGGGACCUUCGGGCCUCGCGCUAUAGGGUUGGCCGAUGGCUGAUUAGCUAGUUGGUGGGGUAAAGGCCUACCAAGGCGACGAUCAGUAGCUGGUCUGAGAGGACGACCAGCCACACUGGGACUGAGACACGGCCCAGACUCCUACGGGAGGCAGCAGUGGGGAAUUUUGGACAAUGGGCGAAAGCCUGAUCCAGCAAUGCCGCGUGUGUGAAGAAGGCCUUCGGGUUGUAAAGCACUUUUGUCCGGAAAGAAAUCCUUGGCUCUAAUACAGUCGGGGGAUGACGGUACCGGAAGAAUAAGCACCGGCUAACUACGUGCCAGCAGCCGCGGUAAUACGUAGGGUGCAAGCGUUAAUCGGAAUUACUGGGCGUAAAGCGUGCGCAGGCGGUUUGCUAAGACCGAUGUGAAAUCCCCGGGCUCAACCUGGGAACUGCAUUGGUGACUGGCAGGCUAGAGUAUGGCAGAGGGGGGUAGAAUUCCACGUGUAGCAGUGAAAUGCGUAGAGAUGUGGAGGAAUACCGAUGGCGAAGGCAGCCCCCUGGGCCAAUACUGACGCUCAUGCACGAAAGCGUGGGGAGCAAAGAGGGAUUAGAUACCCUGGUAGUCCACGCCCUAAACGAUGUCAACUAGUUGUUGGGGAUUCAUUUCCUUAGUAACGUAGCUAACGCGUGAAGUUGACCGCCUGGGGAGUACGGUCGCGAGAUUAAAACUCAAAGGAAUUGACGGGGACCCGCACAAGCGGUGGAUGAUGUGGAUUAAUUCGAUGCAACGCGAAAAACCUUACCUACCCUUGACAUGGUCGGAAUCCUGAAGAGAUUCCGGGAGUGCUCUAAAGAAGA
rnacentral:rRNA from 1 species